rnacentral:misc_RNA from 1 species
GAAGUGCGAUAAUUAAUGUGAAUUGCAGUCGUACACGAAUCAUCGAGUCCUUGAACGCAUACUGCGCCCGAGGGUCCUCUCUCGGGCAUAUCUAGUUCAGUGUCUGUUUCAAAACCUUCUAAUCCUCUAAUGGGGGCUUUAGAGAUCUGGAGAUAGCAUAACUUGUGGAUGCUUGAUCUAAAAUAAAAGUCAAUUUGAUGCCGCUUUGGCUGAUCACUAUCGGAAGACCCGACUGAUAUUCAUUUAUUAGAGCGUUUGAAGGUAGCGUCGAGCUGUUUUUAAUAGGCUUCAUUGAUACUGAAACAACAUCUUUAUAUUUGACCUGAGCUAGGUAAGAAAACCCGCUGAACUUAAGC